rnacentral:lncRNA from 1 species
CCAGGAGAUUUUCUACUAGUGUAACAACUAUUUUUUUUUUCUUGACAAGGUUUGAAUUGAAAAUCAAUGUGCAACAACUUACUAAAUCACCAAGAGCAUAAAUUUAGAUUCUUUCAUGCAGUUAUGAACUAAAUUUUUUUUUUUUUGCAUGAAAAACACUGGGUCGGAGGAGAAAAAAAAAUAAAAAUCAACAUUUUUGAUUUUAUUUUUUUUCCUAUUUGGCAAAAAUUAGGGAAGGAGGGUUCGUAAAACUAAAAAUAAAAAAACUACGGC